rnacentral:tRNA from 1 species
UCUCUGGUGGCUGAGAUGGUAAAGAAUCUGCCUGCAAUGCAGGAGACACAGGUUCAAUCCCUGGGUUGGGAG